CCGCGUCGCAUUAGCUAGUUGGUGAGGUAACGGCUCACCAAGGCAACGAUGCGUAGCCGACCUGAGAGGGUGAUCGGCCACACUGGGACUGAGACACGGCCCAGACUCCUACGGGAGGCAGCAGUAGGGAAUCUUCCGCAAUGGACGAAAGUCUGACGGAGCAACGCCGCGUGAGUGAUGAAGGCUUUCGGGUCGUAAAACUCUGUUGUUAGGGAAGAACAAGUGCUAGUUGAAUAAGCUGGCACCUUGACGGUACCUAACCAGAAAGCCACGGCUAACUACGUGCCAGCAGCCGCGGUAAUACGUAGGUGGCAAGCGUUAUCCGGAAUUAUUGGGCGUAAAGCGCGCGCAGGUGGUUUCUUAA
rnacentral:rRNA from 1 species